rnacentral:ncRNA from 2 species
CAAUGUUUCCACAGUGCAUCAU